rnacentral:rRNA from 1 species
GACGAACGCUGGCGGCGUGCUUAACACAUGCAAGUCGUACGGUAAGGCCCUUUCGGGGGUACACGAGUGGCGCACGGGUGAGUAACACGUGAGUAACCUGCCCACAACUUUGGGAUAACGCUAGGAAACUGGUGCUAAUACUGGAUAUGUGCUCCUGCUGCAUGGUGGGGGUUGGAAAGCUCCGGCGGUUGUGGAUGGACUCGCGGCCUAUCAGCUUGUUGGUGGGGUAGUGGCCUACCAAGGCGGCGACGGGUAGCCGGCCUGAGAGGGUGACCGGCCACAGUGGGACUGAGAUACGGCCCAGACGCCUACGGGAGGCAGCAGGGGGGAAUAUUGCACAAUGGGCGCAAGCCUGAUGCAGCAACGCCGCGGGCGGGAUGACGGCCUUCGGGUUGUAAACCGCUUUCAGCAGGGACGAAGCUUUUUGUGACGGUACCUGCAGAAGAAGCACCGGCUAACUACGUG